GCCUGGUGGUUCCUUGAAGCAGCUUUCUAUGCUGGUCAUCAAGGUUUUAUUAAACAGGCAAAUAUUAAAAUCUGCGGUUUAAUGCUUGGGAGCUGCUUCUGUGCUGCUUCCACAGCCCGGCCGCAGAAACAUAC
rnacentral:snoRNA from 1 species